UACGAAGGGGGCUAGCGUUGUUCGGAAUUACUGGGCGUAGAGCGCACGUAGGCGGAUAUUUAAGUCAGGGGUGAAAUCCCGGGGCUCAACCCCGGAACUGCCUUUGAUACUGGGUAUCUCGAGUCCGAGAGAGGUGAGUGGAAUUCCGAGUGUAGAGUUGAAAUUCGUAGAUAUUCGGGGGAACACCAGUGGCGAAGGCGGCUCACUGGCUCGGUACUGACGCUGAGGUGCGAAAGCGUGGGGAGCAAACAGG
rnacentral:rRNA from 1 species